AGGGCUUCGGCCCCGGUACAGUGGCGCACGGGUGAGUAACACGUGGGUAACGUUCCCUCGGGCGGGGGAUAACCUUCCGAAAGGAGGGCUAAUACCGCAUAAGACCACGACCUCGAGAGAGGACGCGGUCAAAGCAGGCCUCUUCAUGAAAGCUUGCACCUGAGGAUCGGCCCGCGGCCCAUCAGCUAGUUGGCAGGGUAACGGCCUACCAAGGCUAAGACGGGUAGCUGGUCUGAGAGGAUGAUCAGCCACACUGGAACUGAGACACGGUCCAGACUCCUACGGGAGGCAGCAGUGGGGAAUCUUGCGCAAUGGACGAAAGUCUGACGCAGCGACGCCGCGUGGGUGAUGAAGGCCUUCGGG
rnacentral:rRNA from 1 species